ACGAAUCCAAAUACAUCACUGGGUUUUCCCUCCAGUGCAACAUCCUAUAAAAGCUCCAAUAAAUAGAUCCUAGGAUAUGGCAUUGCUAUCAUGUCAACCACAACGGAAUUUCACAUAUACUAUACAAAAUGGCUUUUGUACCAUUAUUAAAAAAUAAAUCCCAAAGAAAAAAGAGCUUGAUAGGCCAUAUUUUCAACAAAAUCCAUCAUCUCGUACCUACGAAUUUUUGUCGGGGCCAAAGAAAUCAACCUCUUCCACAAUUUCAUCUAUCUCGAAUCUUACUAUGAGACUAGUUGGUAUAGUCAUGAUUCAAUCCACUCUUUCUCGCAAACCCAUCUUUGUGCAGGAGCCAAUUACUUUCUUCAAGGAAACCAUUUCCUUCUCUCAAAAACCAACGGUCCCCUCUCGCAAUUCCAUUUUCUGUCACAAAACAUUACCUCACAAACCGAAUGCUUUCACUCAAAAACCCACCUCUCUUAAACCCAUCCCUAUCUCAUUGGGACCUCCAAUGGCAAUAGGCCCCGAUGGCAAAUUCAACCCUGACCCAGUUGAAGGUUAAGUUCCUGAAGAUUUUGCUCAUGGAGUCUCUAAGUUCUCAGCAAGUGGGUCGACAAGCUGCUAAGGCUCGACAGCGACAACAACGCCAAUACAAAGAAGAGCAAUCCAUCUUUCUGCCCGCUAUCGCUGAAGAACACGACCCACCCGAACCAUCUCCUGAAACUCGUUCAUCAUGGUGACGACCUUUCUGGAGAGAUAGACAAAGCCAUAGCUCUGUCUAGAGAGAGAGACAAAGCCAUAGCUCUCAUGCUCAUGGAAUUCGUGGACCAUGGUCUUCUCUCUCCAAACCCACCUAAAAAGGAAGAGGUUAAUCUUGGGGCAUGAAAAGGAGAAGUGUAUAAAGAAGAGAGAGAGCAAGUAGAGAGAGGGUGGGUAGAGAGAGGGGUAACGAGAGGCCGGAUAUCUUGCCAUCAAAUAAAAGAGGUAGCUUUUCAGUAUUUCGAAUAUAGGACGGCAAAGAGCUAAGAAUAUAAAGAAUAGCCCCUUGUAUGAUGUUUGCAUUGCAGAACACAUAAGAACUUAGAGAAAAAAAAAAAAAGGGGUCACGGGUGAAGGUUGUGCUCAUAAUAUUGGACACCAAAGAAUAACAAACCCCCCAAUAUGGUCCCUAUGGAAUUUGCUCUAACAAUAACAACAACAACAAUAAUCAUCAUCAUAAUUAUAAUAAUUGUAUAACAAUAAAAUAUCAUUUUAUUAGUAUUAAUAUUAUAUCAUCGUAUUAUUAUAUUUCAAUAAUAUUGAUUGAAAAUAUAUUACUAAUAUUCGUAAUGUUCAUGAUAUUUCAUAACAAAUAUUAUAAUAAUAAUACAAGAAUUUUAUAGUUAUAUAAUAUGAUAAUAAUAUAUUAUGAUAAUGACGUAAUAUUAUGAUAAAAUAUAUUUAAAUGAUCACCAUUUCAAUAAUAAAUAUUUAAUAAUAAUAAUAAUACAAAAAAAAUAUUAUAAUUACAUUAUAAUAGAAUAAUUAUAAUAAUUACAUUUACAUAACUGUUUAAUUUUAUUUUUAUCAGCACUACUAUAAUAUUAUAGUAUUAAUCAAUAUUAUAAUAUUGGUAAGGAUCUCAUUAAGAAUUUGAGAACUUGAGAAUUGAUCUUGAAGAAACGAUAUGAAAAAUAUGUAUAAGGAACAACACCCUAUGUCCUAUUAUAACAAAAAAAUAUAAAAAAUACUAAUAAAUCAUCAUCACCAUAACAAUAACAACAAAAACAACAACAAUGACAACAAUAACAACAAUAAUAAUAAUAGAAAAUUACAUACAUAUAGGUUAUAGUUUGCAUUAUUACAAAACUGCUGAUAGUUUCCAUUAUUACCUAUCUGUCCUUUUUUUCAAGUCAUAACGAAAAGUUUUAAAAAAUACUAUUUUACCCUUUUUCGGUUGUUGAACAACCGGCAAGUUUUGGUUUUUGAAAAACCGAAAAUUCAAAAUUUUCAGUCGUUGAAGAACCCGACAUUUUUUUCUCUGUCUUCUCUUUAAACUCUUCCCUUCGUCUUUCUAUAACUUACAUUUGGAUGGGUUUAAAAUCUUCCCUAUGAACCCUUCCCUAUGUUUAUCCAUCUUCUCUCUACGAUGACUAAUCUACCAUGACUAUCUUUCAAUUGAUUUGUAAUUGGAAAAGAGAGAAUGUAUAAACAUAGGGAAUCGUUUAUAACUCAGAGAGAAUGGAUAAACAUAGAGAAGAUACCUACGUUUAAACUAAUCCUUAUGUUUAUCCAUUCUCUUUACAAUGACUUAUCUACUAUAUGUUUAUCCAUUCUCUCUCUACCAUGACUAAUCUACCAUGACCAUUAAUUGGAACAGAGAGAAUCGAAAAACAUUGGGAAGACUUUAAUCUAAUGUAUAGAUAGAUUGGAUAAAGAUGGGGAAGACUUUAAACCCACCUAAAUGUGAUAUAAAGAGAAUAGAUAAAUAUAAGGAAAAGGGUAAAGAGAGAGAAUUCGGUUGUUCAAAAAUUGAAUUUAAAAAAAAAUUGAUUAGUGGAUCGGGAGAGAAUACAUAGAUUUAAAAAAUUGAAUUUAAAGCAAAAUUGAUUAGUUGAUAGAGAGAGAAUACGUAGAGAACCUACGAAACAGAAAAAAAAAUUAUGUUAUUGAAGAACCGAAAAUUUACAACUUUCGGUUCUUCAACAACCAAAAAUUUUGAAUUUUCAGAUGUUGAACAACAUAAAAAGGGUAAAAUUGUCUUUUUUAAAAAAAUUUCGUUAUGAAAUGAAAAAAAACAGAAAAAUAAGUAAUAAUGGAAACUAUUUAGUAGUUUUGUAAUAAUGCAAACUAUAACGGAUAUGUAUGUAAUUUUUUCUAAUAGUAAUAAUAAUAAUAAUAAUAAUAAUAAUAAUAAUAAUAAUAAUUUCCUUUUAAUAUUUAUAUCUUUAUGUAUAUUAGUUUUUUGUGUUAUUUCAAAUUAUCGCAUAAAUAAUUUACUCAAUUUGACUAUUUUUUUUUAAAAAAAUUGUUCAAUUAUAUGGAUGUAAUUGAAGAUAUAGGCAUAUUUUCUCAUUCAUAUAUAUAUAUAUAUAUAUAUAUAGUUUUGGCAUACCUUAACACCCAACAUUAGAGUUUUAAAUGGCUGAUAAUCACAAACUUAGAAUUAGAAAUUCUACGGGUAUGUUUGUGGAAACUUAUUUAUUGGGAUUUGUACGGAGAGAUCCUACGAACUUAUCAUUUUAAAGAUCAUGCCAAUUAUUUUAAAACUACAAAAAAUUGUAAUUAAAAAAUAAAGAAAUAAUCUAUUAAUCUGGGAAUUUCUUUCAACGGAUGCACACAAAAAUGUGAAUCUUGUUUCAAAUCUCUCAAAUUUAAAAUUUUUAAAACCCCAAAACAAUAAAGUCAAAGAAAUAACAAUUCAAUAAAUUAAGGAUGUGCCGUGCUAAUUAAAAAUGGAAAAAGUUUAUAUAGAGCGGAGGUUCUAAACAAUCAAAUUAGACUUCACCUCAAAAAUUUCAUUAGAAAAAGUAUUUGAUGUCCAAAUGUCCUCAGAUUGAUCAUGUCCACAUCAAGAUGCAUGAACUAGAAAAGGUUGUUUGAUGUCCAAAUGUCCUCCGAUUGAUCAUGUCCACAUCAAGAUGCAUGAACAUGGAAAAAAAAAAUGGAUUUCAAGUUUUGGAAAUAAUGCAUCUUGUAAUACAUUUUUGGACCAUCAAUUUUCAAGUUUUCAUAGAUCGGCGUGAUCUACACUAAUUUUGAAGCUUUAAAUUUUAUAAUUUGAUACAGGGAGAGAAUAAAACCAGAAAAUUGACAAUAAAAAAAGGAAGGUUAAAAGAAAAUACCUUCUCUCAAUUGUCUGCAUGGGAAUCCACCCCCAAAAUAAUCUCUUUUAAGAGACCAAUUCUUAUUUAAU
rnacentral:lncRNA from 1 species